AUUGAACGCUGGUGGUAUGCUUAACACAUGCAAGUCGAACGGUUUAUUCAAUUAUAUAGUUUUUAACUAUCUAAUUGUAUAGGUAGUGGCGUACGGGUGAGUAACGCGUGGGAAUCUGCCAUAUAGAGGGGGACAACAAUUGGAAACGAUUGCUAAUACCGCAUGAUACUUUAGGAAGAAAUUUUUAAAGUCAAAGGUGGCGCAAGCUGCCGCUGUAUGAUGAGCCUGCGUUGGAUUAGUUUGUUGGUAAGGUAAAGGCUUACCAAGACUAUGAUCCAUAGCUGUUCUGAGAGGAAGAUCAGCCACAUUGGGACUGAGACACGGCCCAG
rnacentral:rRNA from 1 species